rnacentral:rRNA from 1 species
GACGAACGCUGGCGGCGUGCUUAACACAUGCAAGUCGAGCGCUGAAGCUUCUUUGGGGGUGGAUGAGCGGCGAACGGGUGAGUAACACGUGGGUGACCUGCCCUCAGCUCUGGGAUAAGCCUGGGAAGCUGGGUCUAAUACCGGAUAUGACCUUCUCUCGCAUGGGGGUUGGUGGAAAGUCUGUGUUGUGAGACAUGGGCGGUUGGGGAUGGGCCCGCGGCCUAUCAGCUUGUUGGUGGGGUGAUGGCCUACCAAGGCGG